AUGACUAAUAUCCCAUCAGCUUGCUGAGUCAAUUCCAGUAAGUUCUGAGACUCUUUUUCAUUUGUAUCUGCAUGACGGAGACUACAGGUGAGGCUGGAAAAGACAACAUCAUCAACACACACCACCAGCACUGGAGCCCCGCAGGGAUGCGUCCUCUCUCCACUGCUCUUCUCCCUCUACACAAACAAUUGCACCGCAACACACCCAGCCGUCAAAAUCAUAAAUUCGCAG